ACUUUAUCCAAUGGCUCCCAAAUUUUUUGUGCUUAAACUAGACACACUCAUGGUGAUUUUGGUAUAGAGUUUGUGAAUUUAUCAUUGCUGGUUUGUGAGUUAUGAUUUUUUGAAUUAGGGUGUGACAAUUUGUGUCACACCAUUGAUGUCUAACUUCAUGAUUUUCAUUACCAUGCUUCUUGAACUCAAAUUGGUUUGAAUUUUUGCAUGAACCUACUAUUGAAUGUCUAGUUUACAUGUGAAUUUUCUUGGAUUU
rnacentral:lncRNA from 1 species